GGCACCGCCUGCCUGCCUUUGUCACCCGCUCUGAGCGCGGCCACGAGCUCCCGCGGCGGGCUUUGUUCACGCGGAGCUGGGCAGGACCCCUCGCACCGCCGUCUCCCCGCCCGCCCCUGAGCUGGGGACAGUGGGGGUGGGGAACGUGCAGCAGAAAGGGGGGGACCGGAGAAGCUCCUGUGGGCAGGGCGUUUGAGCCCAGUAUUUCGUUUCUUUGCUCCUUUCGUAAUUGAGCUGUUCUCCCUUGCGGAGGGGGUCUUGGGUGAGCAGGAGGCGAAAGAGCUGCAAAGGGGGCGCCCGUUCUCAGCCCAUAGCUGGGCAAAGAACUCUCCGCGCUUCUGUCCACCGAUUUGUAUGGUAUGCAUGCAUGCAUGCAUGCAAGCAUGCAAUGAUGGAUGGAUGCAUGGUUGGAUGGAUGAGGAAAACCACUGAAUUGGGUCCCACGUUCUGGGCUUCGGGUCCGGGUUUUGGCAGCUGCAGGGCGUCUCAGGGAGAAGGAACUUGGUGAAUAUUGUCCGGGCUCCUGAUGGCUUCUUCCAUUGAUGACACUCUUCUGCUCAUAUUCCAUGAGUCAACAUGCCACUCCUAACUUUGAAGUGACUGUAGACAUUCUAUGUUACAGUGAGCCUAGAAGGAAGAAGAGAAAUUGUAGCAUCUUCAAGGACUCCCAGUACUUUGAAAUGCUUUCAGUGACAAUGGUUAUGAUGAAAGUAAUAGCCAAGAAUAACAACAACCACAAAAAAUACACAUGAAGAGAGAUUUCAGUGAUGCUGUAAGUAUCCUGUACUGUUGAAAGCAGGUGAUUCCCAUCUCCUACUGAGUCACAGAUGAUUCCCAUCUCCUGCUGAGUCACAGAUGAUUCCCAUCUCCUACUGAGUCACAGAGACCAAGAUCCAGCUGUAGCCUUGGCUGAGAUGCAAAAAAUGACAGUUGACACAGGAGACUUAACUUUCCUAAGAACCUCUAAUGGUCAAGGCAAGACCCAGGAUGCUCCCAUGAUGCCAGGCUGAGAGUUAACAACAAAGAAUAACUGCCAUGGAAGGACAGUCCUCUUGCCAAUUGGCACUUAUUAAAGGACAUGGAAGGAGAGGGACAGAGUGCCUAGAUGUGAGCCUUCAUCAAGUGUUAUAAAGACCCUACUCCAAUGGAGAGUGCUCGGAGGAAGAAAUGAUGCUUUGGAUAGGUCUUUCCUCAAAGCUGGAGCUGUUCAGGGGUGGCAAGCAGGGUCCCUGGGAUGCAUCUUCCCUGUUGCUGAUUCCUACAAAUAAAGUUCUAUCGGA